AGUGUCCAGGGAUGGGAAUCGAACCCACAGUGUUCCGCUUACCGGGCAGAUGCCAUGUCCACUAGGCUAUUCUUCAC
rnacentral:tRNA from 1 species